GACGAACGCUGGCGGCGUGCUUAACACAUGCAAGUCGAACGGUAAGGCCCUUCGGGGUACACGAGUGGCGAACGGGUGAGUAACACGUGGGUGAUCUGCCCUGCACUUCGGGAUAAGCCUGGGAAACUGGGUCUAAUACCGGAUAGGGCUCCUGGCUUCAUAGUUGGGGGUGGAAAGCUUUUGCGGUGUGGGAUGGGCCCGCGGCCUAUCAGCUUGUUGGGGGGGUAAUGGCCUACCAAGGCGACGACGGGUAGCCGGCCUGAGAGGGUGACCGGUCACACUGGGACUGAGAUACGGCCCAGACUCCUACGGGAGGCAGCAGUGGGGAAUAUUGCACAAUGGGCGCAAGCCUGAUGCAGCGACGCCGCGUGAGGGAUGACGGCCUUCGGGUUGUAAACCUCUUUCAGCUAUGACGAAGCGCAAGUGACGGUAGUAGCAGAAGAAGGACCGGCCGACUACGUGCCAGCCGCCGCUGUAA
rnacentral:rRNA from 1 species